GCGAAAACUUUACAAUGCCGGCAACGGCGAUAAGGGGACCUCGAGUGCCAGGUUACAAAUCUGGCUGUCGAGAUGCCUAAAAAGCAUUUCAUAGCAAGGGCCGGGCAAGACCGGUGCCAGCCGCCGCGGUAACACCGGCGGCUCGAGUGGUCACCGUUAUUAUUGGGUCUAAAGGGUCUGUAGCCGGCCGGAUAAGUCUCUUGAGAAAUCUGGCAGCUUAACUGUCAGGCUUUCAGGAGAUACUGUCUGGCUCGAGGACGGGAGAGGUGAGAGGUACUUCAGGGGUAGGGGUGAAAUCUUGUAAUCCUUGAAGGACCACCAGUGGCGAAGGCGUCUCACCAGAACGGACCUGACGGCAAGGGACGAAAGCUAGGGGCACGAACC
rnacentral:rRNA from 1 species